UGGGGAAUAUUGGACAAUGGGCGCAAGCCUGAUCCAGCCAUGCCGCGUGAGUGAUGAAGGCCCUAGGGUUGUAAAGCUCUUUUGUGCGGGAAGAUAAUGACGGUACCGCAAGAAUAAGCCCCGGCUAACUUCGUGCCAGCAGCCGCGGUAAUACGAAGGGGGCUAGCGUUGCUCGGAAUCACUGGGCGUAAAGGGUGCGUAGGCGGGUCUUUAAGUCAGGGGUGAAAUCCUGGAGCUCAACUCCAGAACUGCCUUUGAUACUGAGGAUCUUGAGUUCGGGAGAGGUGAGUGGAACUGCGAGUGUAGAGGUGAAAUUCGUAGAUAUUCGCAAGAACACCAGUGGCGAAGGCGGCUCACUGGCCCGAUACUGACGCUGAGGCACGAAAGCGUGGGGAGCAAACAGGAUUAGAUACCCUGGUAGUCCACGCCGUAAGCGAUGAAUGCCAGCCGUUGGAGGGUUUACUCUCCAGUGGCGCAGCUAACGCUUUAAGCAUUCCGCCUGGGGAGUACGGUCGCAAGAUUA
rnacentral:rRNA from 1 species